GUGGGGAAUAUUGGACAAUGGGCGAAAGCCUGAUCCAGCCAUGCCGCGUGCAGGAUGAAGGCCUUCGGGUUGUAAACUGCUUUUGUACGGAACGAAAAGACUCCUUCUAAUAAAGGGGGUCCAUGACGGUACCGUAAGAAUAAGCACCGGCUAACUACGUGCCAGCAGCCGCGGUAAUACGUAGGGUGCAAGCGUUAAUCGGAAUUACUGGGCGUAAAGCGUGCGCAGGCGGUUAUAUAAGACAGAUGUGAAAUCCCCGGGCUCAACCUGGGAACUGCAUUUGUGACUGUAUAGCUAGAGUACGGUAGAGGGGGAUGGAAUUCCGCGUGUAGCAGUGAAAUGCGUAGAUAUGCGGAGGAACACCGAUGGCGAAGGCAAUCCCCUGGACCUGUACUGACGCUCAUGCACGAAAGCGUGGGGAGCAAACAGGAUUAGAAACCCCGGUAGUCC
rnacentral:rRNA from 1 species